rnacentral:rRNA from 1 species
GUAGGAUAAGCUAAGCACACUGUUGGUUAUGUGUGCCCAAGCAUUGAGGCAGUCAAAGUAGGCAAAUCCGCUUUGAUAAUGCUGGGAUGUGAUGGGGAGCGAAAUUUAGUAGCGAAGUAGCUGAUUUCACACUGUCAAGAAAAGUCUCUAUCGAGGUUAAAGGUACCCGUACCGCAAACCGACACAGGUGGGUGAGGAGAGUAUCCUAAGGCCAGCGAGAGAACUGUUGUUAAGGAACUCGGCAAAAUGACCCCGUAACUUAGGGAUAAGGGGUGCCACCAUCAGGUGGCCGCAGAGAAUAGGCCCAAGCGACUGUUUACCAAAAACAUAGGUUUCUGCUAAGUCGCAAGACGAUGUAUAGGAGCUGACGCCUGCCCGGUGCUGGAAGGUUAAGGGGAUCUGUUAGAGCAAUCGAAGCAGUGAACUUAAGCCCCAGUAAACGGCGGCCGUAACUAUAACGGUCCUAAGGUAGCGAAAUUCCUUGUCGGGUAAGUUCCGACCCGCACGAAAGGCGUAACGAUUUGGGCACUGUCUCAACAACAGACUCGGUGAAAUUGUAAUUCCGGUGAAGAUGCCGGAUACCUGCGACAGGACGGAAAGACCCCAUGGAGCUUUACUGUAGCUUGACAUUGGGUCUUGGUACUACAUGUACAGGAUAGGUGGGAGGCUUUGAAACCAGGACGCCAGUUUUGGCGGAGCCAUCCUUGGGAUACCACCCUUGUAGUACUGGGACUCUAACCAUAGGCCAUGAAUCUGGUCUUGGGACACUGUCAGGUGGGCAGUUUGACUGGGGCGGUCGCCUCCCAAAAGGUAACGGAGGCGCUCAAAGGUUCUCUCAGUACGGUCGGAAAUCGUACGUAGAGUGUAAAGGCAAAAGAGAGCUUGAUUGCAAGACAUACAGGUCGAGCAAGGAUGAAAAUCGGACUUAGUGAUCCGGUGGUUCUGCGUGGAAGGGCCAUCGCUCAACGGAUAAAAGCUACCCUGGGGAUAACAGGCUUAUCUCCCCCAAGAGUCCACAUCGACGGGGAGGUUUGGCACCUCGAUGUCGGCUCAUCACAUCCUGGGGCUGUAGUAGGUCCCAAGGGUUGGGCUGUUCGCCCAUUAAAGUGGUACGCGAGCUGGGUUCAGAACGUCGUGAGACAGUUCGGUCCCUAUCCGUCGCAGGCGUAGGAAAUUUGAGAAGACCUGUCCUUAGUACGAGAGGACCGGGAUGGACG